rnacentral:snoRNA from 1 species
GCGCCUGAGAAUGAUGAAAAUUGUGUUGGUAGGGACAUCUGAGCGCAAUGAUGAUUACCAACGUCUCUGAUCAGGCUGC